UACGGGGGGGCAAGCGUUGUUCGGAAUUACUGGGCGUAAAGGGCUCGUAGGCGGCCAACUAAGUCAGACGUGAAAUCCCUCGGCUUAAACCGGGGAACUGCGUCUGAUACUGGAUGGCUCGAGUUUGGGAGAGGGAUGCGGAAUUCCAGGUGUAGCGGUGAAAUGCGUAGAUAUCUGGAGGAACACCGGUGGCGAAGGCGGCAAUCCUGGACCAAUUCUGACGCUGAGGAGCGAAAGCCAGGGGAGCAAACGGGG
rnacentral:rRNA from 1 species